UGGGGAAUAUUGCACAAUGGGGGAAACCCUGAUGCAGCGACGCCGCGUGGAGGAAGAAGGUCUUCGGAUUGUAAACUCCUGUUGUUGAGGAAGAUAAUGACGGUACUCAA
rnacentral:rRNA from 1 species